rnacentral:rRNA from 1 species
AGAGGCCCCAAGCGUUACUGAGAAUCACUGGGUUUAAAGGGUGCGUAGGUGGCGCGUUAAGUCCGUUGUGAAAUCCCUGGGCUCAACCCAGGAAAUGCUUCGGAUACUGGCGUGCUUGAGGCUAGUAGAGGUCACUGGAACUGACGGUGGAGCGGUGAAAUGCGUAGAUAUCGUCAGGAACGCCGGUGGUGAAGACGGGUGACUGGGCUAGUUCUGACACUGAGGCACGAAAGCGUGGGGAGCGAACGGGAUUAGAUACCCCGGUAGUCCACGCCCUAAACGAUGCAGACUAGACUGCAGCGGGUUACACCCCGUUGCGGUCGGAGCGAAAUUGUUAAGUCUGCCACCUGGGAAGUACGGUCGCAAGGCUA